rnacentral:rRNA from 1 species
ACACCUGCGCCACGAGUGGCAAUCAGUAUUAUUGGGCCUAAAGCGUCCGUAGCAGGUCGUGAAAAUCUCUUGUGAAAUUGUUCAGCUCAACUGAACACCGUGCAAGAGACACUACACGACUUGGGACCGGGAGGAGUCAGAGGUAUUCCAUGGGGAGCGGUAAAAUGCUAUAAUCCAUGGAGGACCACCUAUGGCGAAGGCAUCUGACCAGAACGGAUCCGACUGUGAGGGACGAAAGCCAGGGGAGCAAACCGGAUUAGAAACCCCAGUAGUCC